rnacentral:rRNA from 1 species
UACGUAGGGUGCAAGCGUUGUCCGGAAUUAUUGGGCGUAAAGAGCUCGUAGGCGGUUUGUCGCGUCUGCUGUGAAAACUCGGGGCUCAACCCCGAGCUUGCAGUGGGUACGGGCAGACUAGAGUGCGGUAGGGGAGACUGGAAUUCCUGGUGUAGCGGUGGAAUGCGCAGAUAUCAGGAGGAACACCGGUGGCGAAGGCGGGUCUCUGGGCCGAUACUGACGCUGAGGAGCGAAAGCGUGGGGAGCGAACAGG